rnacentral:rRNA from 1 species
UUUGAUCAUGGCUCAGAUUGAACGCUGGCGGCAGGCCUAACACAUGCAAGUCGAGCGGAAACGACAACACUGAAUCUUUGGAGGAUGGGUUGGGUGUCGAGCGGCGGACGGGUGAGUAAUGCCUAGGAAGUUGCCCAAUAGAGGGGGAUAACCAUUGGAAACGAUGGCUAAUACCGCAUAAUCUCCUUGGAGCAAAGCAGGGGACCGAAUGGCCUUGCGCUAUUGGAUAUGCCUAGGUGAGAUUAGCUUGUUGGUGAGGUAAUGGCUCACCAAGGCGACGAUCUCUAGCUGGUCUGAGAGGAUGAACAGCCACACUGGAACUGAGACACGGUCCAGACUCCUACGGGAGGCAGCAGUGGGGAAUAUUGCACAAUGGGCGCAAGCCUGAUGCAGCCAUGUCGCGUGUGUGAAGAAGGCCUUAGGGUUGUAAAGCACUUUCAACAGUAAGGAAGGAUGUAUGCUUAAUACGUAUAUAUUUUGACGUUAGCUGUAGAAGAAGCACCGGCUAACUCCGUGCCAGCAGCCGCGGUAAUACGGAGGGUGCGAGCGUUAAUCGGAAUUACUGGGCGUAAAGCGCAUGCAGGUGGUUCGAUAAGUCAGAUGUGAAAGCCCGGGGCUUAACCUCGGAACUGCAUUUGAAACUAUAGAGCUGGAGUACUGUAGAGGGGGGUGGAAUUUCAGGUGUAGCGGUGAAAUGCGUAGAGAUCUGAAGGAAUACCGGUGGCGAAGGCGGCCCCCUGGACAGAUACUGACACUCAGAUGCGAAAGCGUGGGGAGCAAACAGGAUUAGAUACCCUGGUAGUCCACGCUGUAAACGAUGUCUACUUGGAGGUUGUGGCUUUGAGCUGUGGCUUUCGUAGCUAACGCGUUAAGUAGACCGCCUGGGGAGUACGGUCGCAAGAUUAAAACUCAAAUGAAUUGACGGGGGCCCGCACAAGCGGUGGAGCAUGUGGUUUAAUUCGAUGCAACGCGAAGAACCUUACCUACUUUUGACAUCCAAAGAAGCCAGUGGAGACAUUGGUGUGCCUUCGGGAACUUUGAGACAGGUGCUGCAUGGCUGUCGUCAGCUCGUGUUGUGAAAUGUUGGGUUAAGUCCCGCAACGAGCGCAACCCUUAUCCUUGUUUGCCAGCGAGUAGUGUCGGGAACUUCAGGGAGACUGCCGGUGAUAAACCGGAGGAAGGUGGGGACGACGUCAAGUCAUCAUGGCCCUUACAAGUAGGGCUACACACGUGCUACAAUGGCACAUACAGAGGGUUGCAAACUAGCGAUGGUAAGCGAAUCCCAAAAAGUGUGUCGUAGUCCGGAUUGGAGUCUGCAACUCGACUCCAUGAAGUCGGAAUCGCUAGUAAUCGUAGAUCAGAACGCUACGGUGAAUACGUUCCCGGGCCU